rnacentral:ribozyme from 2 species
CCCCUAAUGCGACCAGACCACGACGGUCUGCCGGUCCCAAGUCCGGAUGAACGCAGAGGGGGAA